AAAAUCAUUAACCUUAGGAGAAUUCCAUUCAAUUACUUGAGUUUUUUCCUCGCUUUUUUUUAUUGUUUAUUCCCUAUUGUAACUCUCUUGGCUCUUUAAUUUUCAAAGCCCAGAAAUGGGCAAGUUAUUCCAAUGUUAAACAUCACUAAAUACCAAGAAACCCUACUUUUUUCUGUUUAAAUUAAUGCUAUUAAUUAGAAGAUUUCUUAGGAUAGACAGUGGAGAGCCGACUUUUUUGAAGAGGCAGGGUGAAGCAGAUCAGAGAAUGUGCUGGGAAUAACGUAAUCUGCAUUCAAAUCCUGAUCCUGCCAUUUUCUUGAGUGACUUUGUCAAUUUAUGAUAGUUCUCUGUGCCUCAUUUUCCCUUUUGGGUAAAAUAAGAAAAGCCAUAUUGCCUACUUCAUAUGGCUGUUCUGAAUAUUAAAUGAGUAAACACAGUUAAAGCCAGCAGUUGCUGCCACUGGGAACCAGACAGGUAAGCCUGAGAUCUGACUAUAUGGGGUUGGUGGCAAUGACCUCACCACCUAGUAUCAUACUGAACAGGGGAAAACUGAAAACCUAUCUUCUAAGAUCUAGAACAAGACAAGGAUGCUGACUUUUAUCACUUUUAUUCAACAUAGUACUGAACGUUCUAGCCAGAGCAAUGAGACAAGAGAAAUAAAUAAAAAGCAUUCAAAUUAGAAAGGAAGAAGUCAAUUAGAAAGGAAGAAGUCAAAUUAUCCUGGAUAGCAGAUGAUAUCAUCUUAUAUUUAGAAAAAUGCAGACAUUACCAAAAAACUAUUAGAACUGGCAAAUAAAUUCAGUAAACGUUCAGUUUACAAAAUCAACACACAAAAAAUUAGUAGCAUUUCUAUAUGCCAAUAGCAAACAAUUUGAAAAAAAAACCAAGAAAGUAAUUCCAUUUACAAUGGCUACAAAUAAAAUAUCUAAAAAUUAACAAAAGAAGGGAAAGAUCUUUUCAAUUAAAACUAUAAAACAUUGAUAAAAUAAAUUGAAGAAGACACAAAAAAUGAAAAGAUAGCCCAUGUUCAUGGAUUGGAAGCAUCAAUAUUGUUUAAAUGUUCAUACUACCCAAAGCAAUCUACAGAUUCAAUGCAAUCCCUAUCAAAAUAUCAAUGACAUUCUUCACAAAAAAACUUAACAUUUAUAUGAAACCACAAAAGAUCCAGAAUUACCAAAGCCACCCUGAGCAAAAAUAACAAAACUGGAAAAAUCACAUUAUCUGACUUCGAAUUAUACUACAAAGCUAUAGU
rnacentral:lncRNA from 1 species